AGAAGCUGCGGAGAGGGGAGAGAUGAAAGAGGGAAGAAUGAAAAAACAAAGAGGAAGACGAGUUAGAGCGAGCGAUAAAGAGAGACGAAACGGCUUCUGAGUGAGGACGACAGAAAGAGUGAAGUUUGACACGACAACAGCGAGACGACGCUAGACUGGAACUAUUUUCAUAACAGAAGUGGUUUUAACUUUCAUCAGAGUUCUUCUUCUUCUUCUUCCUAUUCUUCUUCUUCUUCCUAUUCUUCUUCUUCUUCCUAUUCUUCUUCUUCUUCUUCCUAUUCUUCUUCUUCUUCCUAUUCUUCUUCUUCUUCUUCUUCUUCUUCUUCUUCUUCUUCUUCUUCUUCUUCUUCUUCUUCUUCUUCUUCUUCUUCUUCUUCUUCUUCUUCUUCUUCUUCUUCUUCUUCUUCUUCUUCUUCUUCUUCUUCUUCUUCUUCUUCCUCUUCUUCUUCUUCUUCUUCUUCUUCUUCUUCUUCUUCUUCUUCUUCUUCUUCUUCUUCUUCUUCUUCUUCUUCUUCUUCUUCUUCUUCUUCUUCUUCUUCUUCUUCUUCUUCUUCUUCCUAUUCUUCCUAUUCUUCUUCUUCUUCUUCUUCUUCUUCUUCUUCUUCUUCUUCUUCUUCUUCUUCUUCUUCUUCUUCCUAUUCUUCUUCUUCUUCUUCCUAUUCUUCUUCUUCUUCUUCUUCUUCUUCUUCCUAUUCUUCUUCUUCUUCCUAUUCUUCUUCUUCUUCUUCUUCUUCUUCUUCUUCUUCCUCUUCUUCUUCUUCUUCUUCCUAUUCUUCUUCUUCUUCUUCUUCUUCUUCUUCUUCCUAUUCUUCUUCUUCUUCUUCUUCUUCUUCUUCUCCUUCUCCUCCUUCUUCUUCUUCUUCUUCUUCUUCUUCUCCUCCUUCUUCUUCUUCUUCUUCUUCUUCUUCCUAUUCUUCUUCUUCUUCUUCUUCUUCUUCUUCUUCUCCUUCUCCUCCUUCUUCUUCUUCUUCUUCUUCUUCUUCUUCUCCUCCUUCUUCUUCUUCUUCUUCUUCUUCUUCUUCUUCCUAUUCUUCCUAUUCUUCUUCUUCUUCUUCUUCUUCUUCUUCUUCUUCCUAUUCUUCCUAUUCUUCUUCUUCUUCUUCUUCUUCCUAUUCUUCUUCUUCUUCUUCUUCUUCUUCUUCUUCUUCUUCUUCUUCUUCUUCUUCUUCUUCUUCUUCUUCUUCUUCUUCUUCUUCUUCUUCUUCUUCUUCUUCUUCUUCUUCUUCUUCUUCUUCUUCUUCUUCUUCUUCUUCUUCUUCUUCCUAUUCUUCUUCUUCUUCUUCUUCUUCUUCUUCUUCUUCUUCCUAUUCUUCUUCUUCCUAUUCUUCUUAUUCUUCCUCUUCUUCUUCUUCUUCUUCUUCUUCCUAUUCUUCUUCUUCCUAUUCUUCUUCUUCUUCUUCUUCUUCUUCUUCUUCUUCUUCCUAUUCUUCUUCUUCCUAUUCUUCUUAUUCUUCCUCUUCUUCUUCUUCUUCUUCUUCUUCCUAUUCUUCUUCUUCCUAUUCUUCUUCUUCUUCUUCUUCUUCUUCUUCUUCUUCUUCUUCUUCUUCUUCUUCUUCUUCUUCUUCUCCGUCUUCACUCCUCUGACUCUCUCUCUCCUCUUUAAAGGCUGCAGAGCGCUCCUGUCAGAAUGUUCCCACACAGGCCAAAAAAGCUGCUGAAAGCCUUGUGAUUUUGUCGAGUCCGCUGAGCAUUGUGGGGCUUUAAGGGCAACAUCAGAACCAGAACUUGUGAAGGAGGGGAGAAGGUAAUUUAGGUCCGGCCUUCAGGGAGACAAAUGCAAAGAGAGAGCGAGUUUCAGAGAGCAAGGGCGAUCAAUGCGAGGGGCUUACCGCGGAGGAACCGCCAAAUAAGCUGUAACUCAGGACGGGUCUGUGUCGUCCCCGAGGUGGACUCAGUAAUCCGUAAUCUGACACCAACUCACACAGGACCCCCCCCCCCGCUCAAACACCGCCAGCUUUUAGUCGGUCGGAUCAAUACGGCGGUGCUGAGAGUCUGAUCACACGUGUGAGGGCGCCGACGUUUGAGCUAAUCCUGCCGAGGCGGAGGAAAUCCUGAGGUAAGAAAGUGAGACGAACUUUUCUGAUUCAGACGAAAACGUGAGAAAAACUUUGAUAUAAAAGUAACAGAGACGUUUAAACUCUUUUAUGUCGUUGGUUAUGUUAGUCUGGGACACCUGAAGAGUCGGACCCAAAAUUUCACCACAUCCGUCAAUUCCUACCGGAUCUGCUUGUGAGGCAAAUGUCGUGAUGGAUUACAGACAGGAGGAGUCGUGAGAACUCACAAGAACCUGCAGAUUCACGUUCAAUCUCUCGAUAACGAGUUGUCUCUCUAAAGACAGACACAUAGACAUAUAAGCAGUAGAUUGUGUCCUUCCAGAGGAGGAAAUCUACUUCUAGACUUCUAGAAUCAGCAUCUCCUCAUCCAUGGUGUCAUCGGGGUGAAAUGACGUCUAAAAACCUUUCACUUAGACCUGAUCCAGGUUGACUAUGGUCUCAGGUUACAAACCGGUUAAAAACCAUCAAACAUGUACAGACCCGAGUGUUUCAACGACCAUCCUUAUAUUCAGACGACUGUGGUUCCUGUUAUCGGUCUGCAGGUGAUCAGCUGAUGGAGACAAACGAAGGUCAAUGACCUCCACAGGAUCUCACGAUGAUUACGACCAUAAAUGAGUUUCUGUUCAAAAUCCUCUCAGACCGAAGUUUGAGUCGAAUAAAAGUAAAAUAUCGAUGAAGAGUCUGAGUCUGAGCGAACACCUUCAGGAGGAGCUGAUGGAGCUGAUGGCGCCGACAUCAGCAGGAGGAGCUUCAUAUCUGUGUGUGUGUGAACCUCCACAGACGAGUGAAUGGCGCCGACUGACGCUGAGUCACAGACGUGUCAUGGCGGCGUUUAUUUGAAUGAUUAUGACUCAGAAUCAUAAAUAAAUGUUUUUGCAUUAAUCUGAUUCUUAGACGCAGACGGCGCUCAGAGAUGCUCCUCCAUCUUAAUCUGGGAUUAAAAAUAGUCCCAGCAUUAAUACGAAUGUGACUCAUGUCAGCUGACUCAGCGGCCCGGCGUCACGCUGAAACUUACACUAAAGUACCAACGGUCUGACGCUGACCAAAGUGGCGUGGGGUCUUCCAGCUCCAUCAGCUGUUGGCGGUGACGGACAAACGCCGUCCUCAGUGGUUGAGUUUUUUUUCUUUAAGGACUCGUUUGACGGUUAAACGUCAACACGAAAGGUUCGCCACGUUUUGGUACCAAAGCAGCAGGUCGUCCUCACACAGAGAGGAGCGCCAUGGCGGUCGAUAUAACCGCCUGACCUUUCCUCAUCCUCUCAAACUGAAGUCUUAUUUCUUUGACACCAUAAAUGCGGUUCUAGACGGUGAACGCUCUUCCACGGUUAAACCCGUCUCCUCUCUGCUGGCUGACCUUUGACCCUGCCUUUUAGGUUUGGCAUUUGGGACGGCGAGCCGCUCAUCAGACGUGCGAUCACACGGGUCAGCACUUCGCCUUAUUGUCAUUUCUCUGACUUCUCGCCGGACGCCUUUUACAUCGGGGUGCAGCGCUCGGCGUCGGGUCGUCUACAUAACGAGUGACACACACACACACACACACACACAUACGAGUAAAACAGAUUUUUAACAACAGCAGAGCUCCUGCACGGACACUUUUCAUGAAAGCUAAAGUUUUAAAACUAAAUAUGUAGAAAAGUGUAAAAGCAGAGCCGAACAAGAGUGAAGGAGAGGAGUGAAAGAUCUCACGGCGAAUAAAUCAGACGAACAGACGCUCACAGCUAAUGUCCUCAGAUAUAUACUUUAACAUGACACAAGUAUUAUUGGGUAUAAAAGGUUACUGCACGCCACAUAGGAUUACAGCUGAAUGAGAGAGAGAGAGAGAGAGAGAGAGAGGGAGAGAGAGAGAGAGAGAGAGAGAGGAAGAGAGAGAGAGAGAGAGAGAGAGAGAGAGAGAGAGAGAGAGAGAGAGAGAGAGAGAGAGAGAGAGAGAGAGAGAGAGUUUAAUAAGAAGUGAGAAACUGUAAAGGUGUCAGAGAGAGUGACUGAAACUCUCUUCAGUCUUUAAACCUGUUACAACAGUGUGAAUGUCGGUCAGUGAAACUCACACCAAUCAAUCUGUGUAAACAGACAGAGUGUGUGUGUGUGUGUGUGAGUGUGUGUGUGUGUGUGUGUGUGUGAGUGUGUGUGUGUGAGUCAGACUGCUAAAGCUAACAGACUUCUCAUGAUAUGACUAAACAGACACAGUCACACAAAAACACCGAUCAGCUGUUUGUCACUGGAGUUUGUAGUGAAGUCGUGUGAAUCAGAAUAAAAUACUAAAAACCAAACAGAAUAAAAAUGAUUAAAUAUAAAAUAACAUUAAAGGGACAAACCUCACAGGUUAAAUUUACCACAUUUACUCUAAUAGAAGGGCAUCCAGAAAGCUCAUUUUACUGUUUCAUCCAGAUUAAUGAUCAUUUAUGAAGGAGGCGCUUUGUUUACAUUUUAAUUGAAUUUAAAUUAAUUUGAUUUAAUUCACUUUAUUUGUCCCUCAGGGGUUUUUGAAGGAACAUAAACAAACCACAUAAUUCAACAUAACAGUCAAACACAGAUGUUAACAAUAGAGCGCACAAGGUGCUGAUUUUUGGGCUAAUCUGGUUCCUCAUCAGGUAAAUCCUGAACAAAUAUCAGCUGCAUCCCAUCAAUAAAGAAGAAGUUACAGGCCAUUAACCGAAAAACACAUUCCCCUCUGCCACCAGGUGGCGCUACAACAUACAAACGUAAGUUUGGUGUUGAAUUGUCCGGUACAGGACCUUGAUCAAAUGACUAAAAUCUUGUGGAGAUGGAACCAGUGUAAGGGAAGUUAUAUCUGAAACGCUGCGAGCACGAAAACUCUAGGGUGCGCUAGUGAGUCAUUUAUUUUCAAAUCUAUAGGGGCACGGCAAAAUACGCACUUUUGACCCAGGCACGACCCGUCUGAGUUUUUGAGCCCGUCUAGAGGGGGAAGAAGUUCGUAAAUUUUGUAAUAAUAAUAAUAAUAAUAAUAACAGUAAUAAUAAUGAUAAUUAUAGUAAAAACAAUGAUAAUUAUCAUAGUUAGAAUAGUUGUAAUAAUAAUAAUAAUAAUAAUAAUAAUAAUAACAGUAAUAAUAAUGAUAAUUAUAGUAAUAACAAUGAUAAUUAUCAUAGUUAGAAUAGUUGUAAUAAUAAUAAUGAAAAAGUCCUGACAGGGCUCUCGCCGGCUGCUUGCUGCUAUAGGAAGGGCAUCCAGAGGUCAUGUGUUCAUGGUUUUUCACCAGAGGGCGCCCCUUUUCAUAUUUAUAUUUAUUUAUCUAUAUAUGAAAGAAUAAGAAUAAAAAUAACUGUCUUGAUCCUCGAGGGGAAAUUAAAUAAAGUUAUUUUUAUUCUUAUCUGCAGUGUCAUCUGAAACACUGGAGCAGCAGCAGGGGGGCCUCUCGCCCUUCCCUCCACCCCCCUCAGAUACGCCUCUGAAGGCGGCCGUGGAAGACGUUAAAACUGUGGAGGAAUCAAAGCGGAUAUGGCGGCGGUGGCGGCGGUGGCGGCGGCGGCUGCUGCUGUGGGUAAUUGUUUGUGGUUGUUGACAAAUUUGUGCGGAGAGUUGCAGAGGAGUGUUUGAUAAAAGUGUCAGGAUUAUGUAAAUGAGGGAUUAAAUAAUCAAUGGCUCAGUGAGAAACACGGAUUUCUCCCUAACAAGUACAGUUGUGCUGCUCUUGUUUCCUCUGGUGAGAACUGGAGAGCCGUGUAUUUUCUCUGAGUUAACAUCUGAGCGAGCGAGCGUGUGUUUGCUCACUUUAAUAAGUGUAGCAGGAAGUGUGUGUGUGUGUGUGUGUGUGUGUGAAUGCUGCAGCUAUUCCCCACCGAACUCAAUGAAAGGCUAAUCAGACAGUAGGAGCAAAGAAAGGAGGGAUUGAUUAAAAAAGAGACACUGGACGUGAGGCUGAAUCCAUCCCUCCUCCUCCUCCUCCUCUUCUCCUUCUCCUCCACCGCAGCAGCAGCAGCAGCAGGAGGAGGAGGCCCACUUCAUCUUCAUUUAUGAGGAGAGCAGCCGCUGAAUGUAAAGCAUGUAAAUAUGUGUCCAAACGGCACAGGGGACGCCUCGCUUUAAUCCCAGUGACAUGAACCGUCGGAGCUGCUGUCGUUUAAACUCUACAGAGAAACAGAGAGGAGGUCUGAAACACGGAGACAGGAGGACAGGAGGACAGGGGGACAGGGGGGUCUGGUCUUCAGAUGAUCAUGGUUUAUUUAUGGUGUCAGUCUCCUUUCAUGGAGGGUGGUGUUGGAUGGAGGAAGACUCCUCUCCGUUUCACAGACAGAGGAACUGAAGAUGAAAACUAAAGAUCUUUGUGAGUCUGAAGAACCUCCUCAAACUGAGAAGAACCGUUUACAUUCACACUAGUUUACUAGUUUACCAGUUAGUGUUGUAUAAAGUGAACAAACUUUAUCUCCUCUUUCUACUGUAUUUGCUGUGGAGUGACUGUAAUGAAAAGCUGAUCUGGGUACAGACUAAAACCUGGGGUCUCCUGUAUCAACACUUGUGUGGAUCUUAAACUAAAAAACGGCGAUCGCAGGAAUCACGAAAGUUAGCAUUAGCAUCCCAAUCAGCGUGGAAUUGAGCGUAGAUGUCGGAGUGACCGGCCCCUCCCCCCCGUCACGCCCGCCUAUAAAUACGCAAAUUUAUUUAAAAAGGGUCUCCGCUGUCGGCGCUCGCACAACAAUGUCCACCAAAGUGAAGUCAACUUUCAAAACAGCACAAGAAUCGACGAACUUUUCGCGUUGAUACGUCUGAACGUGACGAUCUUUCUGACCCUCAGAGUCAAACGAAAACCCCGACAGUCCGGUUCUCAUAUUUGUACAAACUGCUGCUCUGCCUUCAUGGAGAUUUUUCUCUAAUUCGACGUCAAUAAUCCCGUUUUUUCAGGACGUGUUGUUGCUCCACUUCUGAACCGUUUAAGAGUUAAACUUUUCCUUCGUUUGAGUUUUUAAUCAGAGGAUUUUCUCCUUUUUUAUCAUCAUGAAGGUUUUUAAACUCCUCGUUUUUUGACUCUCCUCCUGGUUUUCAGAGCCGUCUUUGGUUACAAACAUCUUCUGCCGUUUUCUGACAUUUUAAAGAUGAACAUUAAUUGAUUAUGAGAAUAAUAAUUUUCUGCAGACAAAAAAAUGAUGAGAGAGAGAAAAAAAAUCCUGCUGAGUCAUGAAUUAUUCCCUUUCAUUAAGCCGAGUCGACGCUCCUGAGCGUCCCUGACAGCAGAUCUGAAGCACUCUCUGAAAACACUCCUCCUCCGACUUCAGCCGGACUAAAAACCUUCAGACUGAGUCCUGAGGGGACCCGGGUCUCCGCUGACCGAAGGCUACAGACUCCAGGAUGUGCGAUUCGCUCCACUUACGCUCAACAAGGAGGAUGAGGGACGACGCAGACAAAGAGAUGGUGUCCAAUCUGAGCGCUCCAUCAUCCAGGGGCGCGGGGGAAAGUAACAGGCCCGGGUCAGAGUCCCGAGUCCUGGAGCAGAAAGAGAGGCUGAAUGAAAAGAACCAAGAACGGCU
rnacentral:lncRNA from 1 species